rnacentral:rRNA from 1 species
GAUCAGCCACACUGUGACUGCGACACGGCCCAGACUCCUACGGGAGGCAGCACUGGGGAAUUUUGCGCAAUGAGCGCAAGCCUGACGCAGCAACGCCGUGUGCAUGACGACGCCUUUCGAGGUGUAAAGUGCUGUCGACCGGGACGAAGGGGCGAGGGUGAACAGCUUUCGCGCAUGACGGUACCGGUGGAGGAAGCCCCGGCUAACUCCGUGCCAGCAGCCGUGGUAAUGACGGAGGGGGCGAGCGUUGUUCGGAAUUACUGGGCGUAAAGCGCGCGUAGGCGGUGCAGCAAGUGGUGCGUGAAAGCCCUCGGCUUAACCGGGGACGGGCGUGCCAAACUGUUGGACUGGAGUGCCGGACGGGGAGGCGGGAUUCCUGGUGGAGCGGUGAAAUGCGUAGAGAUCAGGACGAACGUCGGUGGCGAAGGCGGCCUCCUGGACGGACACUGACGCUGAGGUGCGACAGCGUGGGGAGCGAGCGGGAUUAGAUACCCCGGUAUUCCACGCCGUAACCGAUGGGUACUAGGUGUGGGGCUUGUGAUGAGGCCCGUGCCGGAGCUAACGCAGUAAGUACACCGCCUGGGGAGUACGUUGACAAGGCCGAAAGUCAAAGGAAUUGACGGGGGCCCGCACAAGCGGUGGAGCAUGUGGUUUAAUUCGACGCAACGCGCAGAACCGUACCCAGGUUCGACAUGCACCGGCACAGCGAGGAGAGUCGCUGGCCCGUUUCAGGUCGGUGCACAGGUGCUGCAUGUCUGUCGUCAGCUCGUGUCGUGAG